rnacentral:rRNA from 1 species
AACGUAGGACACAAGCGUUAUCCGGAGUUACUGGGCGUAAAGGGCGUGUAGGCGGAUCGGUAAGUCUACUCUGAAAGCUCCUGGCUAAACUGGGAGAGGCGAGUGGAGACUGUCGGUCUAGAGUGAGGAAGAGGAAAGUGGAAUUCCGCGUGUAGUGGUGAAAUGCGUAGAGAUGUGGAGGAAUACCGAUGGCGAAGGCAGCCCUCGCGGCCA